GGUUCCAUAGUGUAGAGGUUAGCACAUCUGCUUUACACGCAGAAGGUCCUGGGCUCGUGCUCCAGUGGAGUCA
rnacentral:tRNA from 1 species